CAGCCGCCGCGGUAAUACGUAGGGUGCGAGCGUUAAUCGGAAUUACUGGGCGCAAAGCGUGCGCAGGCGGUUUGUUAAGUCUGUUGUGAAAUCCCCGGGCUCAACCUGGGAAUGGCAAUGGAUACUGGCAAGCUAGAGUGUGUCAGAGGAUGGUGGAAUUCCCGGUGUAGCGGUGAAAUGCGUAGAGAUCGGGAGGAACAUCAGUGGCGAAGGCAGCCAUCUGGGACAACACUGACGCUGAGGCACGAAAGCGUGGGGAGCAAACAGGAUUAGAUACCCCCGUAGUCCCUGUCUCUUAUAC
rnacentral:rRNA from 1 species